rnacentral:rRNA from 1 species
GAUGAACGCUAGCUACAGGGCUUAACACAUGCAAGUCGCGGGGCAGCAUGUAUCUGGCUUGCCAGAUACGAUGGCGACCGGCGCACGGGUGAGUAACGCGUAUCCAACCUGCCCAUAACCACGGCACAGCCCGUCGAAAGGCGGAUUAAUGCCGUAUGAGGUUCCAGAGUAGCAUUAUUAUGGAACGAAAGGAUUGGCGGUUAUGGAUGGGGAUGCGUCCGAUUAGCUUGUUGGCGGGGUAACGGCCCACCAAGGCGACGAUCGGUAGGGGUUCUGAGAGGAAGGUCCCCCACACUGGGAACUGAGACACGGUCCAGACUCCUACGGGAGGCAGCAGUGAGGAAUAUUGGUCAAUGGGCGGAAAGCCUGAACCAGCCAAGUAGCGUGCAGGACGACGGGCCCUAAUGGGUUGUAAACUAGCUUUUUCGCGGGGAUAAAGAGGGGGAUGCGUCCCCCGUUGCAGGUACCGCGUGAAUAAAGGAACCGGCUAAUUCCGUGCCAGCCGCCGCCGU